ACUUGAUGAUCCUUAAGGGUCCCUUCCAACUCAGGAUAUUCUAUGAUUCUAUGAUACUCUAUUUUGUCAUUACUUGGUACUUCUGAUGACAAGAGGAUGUGUGAGGAGCCUUUAAGGUGUAGUAUACCAGGCCUAGGAAUAAGGUAGGGCAAUAAGGUUGUUCCAGAGCCAGACUAAAAGUCCAUCCUCAUCCAGGAUUGAAGACAGGAGGGAUCAUGGCAGUCACACAACUCCUCUAUUCCCUGUAUUGAUCUCUGCUUUUUUUUUUUUUUUUUCCAGAAGUUUUCAGGGUGCACACUCCCUUUUUGCUAGUUUGCAGACAACACGUUUUAACAACCAGUCUUGAAAAAUGCUGCACUACUAAUAGGUAAGAGUAGAAGAGGAAGCAAAUGUAUAUAAAAUGCUCAGACUGAUUUCUGGCAAAUACCACGCCUGAUCCAUAUUGCAGUAUUGCCAACUUUAAGUGUUCCAAAAUCACAUGUGAUGAGAGUGGCUUAAAAUAAUCAAAUUGGAGUUCCUUUUUAUUUGUUUUCUGGCUUAAAAACAAUCAAUGUGAGGUUCUUUUUAUUUGCCUUUGUUUUCUUAGCAUUCAGGGUAUGCUCAGAUAAUGUUUUCUCAGAAACCACGUGUGCUAGAAAGCUGCUUUCUCUUUUCCAAAUGAAAACUAGUAUUUCUCAAGUCAAGCUCCAGACAUAUGCUAAGGCUUCACAUGCAAAACAGCACAAGAUAUGGGAGUAGAUAACUAGAAAUGCAACACUUCAUUUUUUCCUCUCAUAUUUUGUUUUGCUCGUUGCAAUAUGAAAUCCAGGGUAGGACAGAGAAACAAUGAAGUGGAUAUGUUAAUAUGAAUUUAAAAAAUGAGAACAGAGAGUUAGGGAAGGAGAGGUAACAACAAAAUAGAGUAAAUAGAAAACAGAGAAGGGAAAGCAAGAGUGGUAACAGAGGAGGAUGGCAAUAUCAACAAUGGGAGAGAUUUAGGAAGAGAAAACAAAGCAAACCAACAGGAAAUAUCAUUAUAAAUAUGCCUAUGCUUUUGAAGUAUGGUGGCUGCUUUCAGGCUCUGGAAGCUAUCAGAGCUCUAAAUAGCUAUGUAUCUGUAAUUAAUGAUCUGAAGCUGUGCCAAUAUUUAACCAAGUAUUAGCCCUGCCACAGCAAAGGGGCAUGUGGGACUUUGGAGGCCAGGUGUUUCUAAGCUUUUAGAUGCUGCACACUCGUGUUCUGUAUAUAUGUGUCUUGGGAAGGAUGGGGGCAAAGUUCCCUGGAAUUCAGAGAUCUCCAAGACCGUUGUGCUGGAGGCAUACACUUAAAAUUCUUAGGUCUGAAAUUAAGCAUAAAAGGUCUGUACCCUCUUAACAUGAGGGUGGUCAAACACAACAGGCUUCCUAGUGAGGUGGUUCCUCAUGCCUGUCAGUGUUCGAGGCAUUCGGAAAACACUUUCAGUAAUAUACUUUAACUUCUGGUUAGCCCUGAAGUGGUCAGGCAGUUGGACUACAUGAUCUUUGAAGGUUCCUUCCAACUGAGCCGUCCUAUCCUAUCCUAUCCUAUCCUAUCCUAUCCUAUCCUAUCCUAUCCUAUCCUAUCCUAUCCUAUCCUAUCCUAUCCUAUCCUAUCCUAUCCUAUCCUUUAUUCUGGCAGGUAUGUAAAUCUGUGGAGGGCUGUUAGAAUCUGCUGUUCUGUAGCCUUUGAUACCUAACUUUCAAAUAGCUUGAAGGAAUAGUUCAGCAAGACAGCCUGAAGUCUGUCUAUUGCUUCAAAGUAGAAGAUUGUUCUUAUUUUUAGAAUUUCUUUCCCUUUUCCCCAUCUAUAUACCUUUUCCUAAUCUGUCUCUUGGGGAUUCCCAUCCCUUUCUCUUGAUGUAAAGUUGUCUUUUCAUUGUUCUCUUUCUUUUACUUUUAUUAGACUUACUAUGUUUCUGUCUCUGCCACAGAAGUCUGAGACAUCCUACUUAAUGUACAUUGAACUGCCUCUUGUCCUCUUUUAAAUAUGUAAUUUAAUUUGCAAAAUUUCUGACUCUAGCAUAAUCUCUUUGUAUCCAUCUACUCUUUCUUACACCUUGGGAAAUAGUCGUAUCCUUUUUAGUCUCUGUUUAGCAACUCCAUGUAUCCUGUUUCUAUAUGGAACUAAGAGCAAUUAAUAAGUUAUGCUGUUCAGGAGGCUGGAUUUGCCUUGGCUGAAAUCGGUGAGCCAUAUAUAAUCUAGGGUAAGUAUCAGGAUUUUUUUUUUUCCAGAUUUCAAAUGCAAAGCCCAAAUUUAAAGAAGGCGCCUUGUACAAUUUACUUGUAUAGAAGUGUUUUCACUGAGGGCUGAAUACAAAGACAGUGAAGUCCAAAGAUAACCAUAGGAGCACUGAUACUGUGAGUUGGAUGCGAAGCUCAGAUUGCUCUUGCAGUACCACUCUGACUGAUGAAAGAAGGCUAAAAUACUGAAAAAAUAAUCUUCUGUCUUGCAUUCAGAGGCUCGGAACAUUUGCACGUGCAUUCAUGUGCAAAACUCUCUUUUAGUCAUCUCUCUUCCCCUAAGACUGCUUGUCUUAGUAGUAAAUACUGGUUGUGCUCCAAAUAUUGGCUCACCACCUGGGCCAGAAAAAAUACCAUGGGAAAUGUAUGGACUUUGAAAAAGACUUUAAAAAAAUAGUCAGAUGGAGAAAAGGUAGAUUGAUAAAGUAUGCUAUGGCCACAGAAUAAAGCAGAAUAAGUAGGUCUUAUUUGGGGCACUAUCCAUUGGUCGAUAUUUCAUUGUUAAAAUUUGCUUUUGGUAAAGUGACUUGGUCAGUGGUUUCUCUGUUACUGAAAUUAGAUAAUAUUUAUUGUAUAAUUAAAUGUUGGUUUAUUUAUUCAAAUAUUUUGCCAGAUAGCUUAUUAAAUAAGCUUCCUAUUUUAUAACCCCUUUGUUGGCAAAUAUUGAGCUUUAAAAGUUACUACAUUUCAUACUAUUUUUUUUUUGUACAUUUAAUGAAAUAUAUCAAGUGUGCAUGAGGUACACAGAAAAAAUAUCAAAGUUCUUCGAGUGGGAAGCCUUGGCCACAAACCUAAUUUUGGAGGUAACAGCAUAUGAUGAGGUCUGCAACAUUUGAUCAAUGUCUGGUAAUCACCUAUUGCCAGGUCCAGAGUUGCAAAAAUGAAGUAGGAAGGGAAAAAUAUCUCCUUUUUUCUCUGCCUCCCUCUUUCUCAUACUACCACAGAAGUACAUACAUCCACCCAUGCAUGUGCAUGUGCAUGCACACAUACACGUACACACAAAAAGCUUCUGUCUUGAUUCAGUUUGCUCAGCUUCUGUGUACAAUUAGAAAGUGCAGAUGUUCUGGACUGCAGGGUGGUGUCCAAUUUCAUUUGAAAAUGAAAUAUAUGAUAAAUAUUAAAAAGAUUUUUUAUAUUAAAAAGAUGUUCAUUUAAAAGAUUAAAAGCCAUCUUCACAGUAACAGUAUUUUAUCCCUGAAGUGGCCCUGGAGUCCAGAUUUAUUACAAAUUUCCUUCAUACUUCUACUUAUAGAGCUAAAAUUAUCAAUUCUUUGAGGAUCCACAGAUGAUUUUUCUUUUACCAAGUAAGAGGGUAUACUUCUAUUCUUUUUUUAAAAUAAAUAUUUUAGUAUCAAAGGUAUGGUGCCUACUUCCACUGCUAAAGGUGUAUGUAUUUAUGUCAUUUUAAGCUUAAAGUAUAUUUCCAGUAUUCUUAAUCUAAUAAUAAUAUUCUACUAUGUCUGUGGCAGGUAAUAAAAAUGUUGGUCACAAUGUUAGUGGCCUUGCAACAGUGAAUGCAUCAAUUACAAUUUUUUAACUUUAUUAAACUCAAACACAUUUGCAAGAGUGUACCAGUUCAAAGGGCUGGCAUUAGCUCAUAGACUUUCAAUAGUGGUUCAUGAUUUUGGCACAGAUUAUGUUUUUUCUCCACCCUGGCUGUCAUUGUGUCUUGUGGAGCGUAUUUUAGCAGCUGUUUAAGUGUUAGUCAGCUUCUGAGGACUAGACUGAACCUCAGGAAUGGAAGUGGCCUUUGGACAUUGUAGAUGGUAUUUGGCAGGUAUUGUGAAGAUGGUUUGAAUAUUGUGUACCUAUGUAUUCCUGACACUUUAAACUGAAGUGUUGUGUUGAAAAAGAGCAAAUGCAAGAUGUUGUUCCCAAAGUGUAGCCAAUGAAGCCCUUGCAAAAAUUAUAGCAGAUAGGUCUGCUGUUUUAAGUUGCUUAGGUAUUCAAUUUUCUUUAAAACAACAUUCUUAAUGUCAUCAUACAGCCCAACCCAACUGCACUCUCCUAAAACUGCCAAAUGCCUGACAGCCAUCAUCUUGCACGGGACCUUAGCAUUGGUUCUGAAUCAACUGCACUUUUCUUGGCCCUGCGUCUCUCCAGGAAACUUGGCUUUGCUCCAUCAGCUUUCCCCUAUGGAAAAGCUAAGUGUCAGCAUGAGACUCAGGAGCAGAAGAGUUAGAGAAAAGAUGCAGAAGAGACUAAGAAGAACCUGAUUAACAUUUUCUGAAAAGAUGGAAAGCCACACUGUGGGUAGGGAUAUAGGUGUCAGAUUGAGAAAACAAAAAUUAGGCUUCCCUAUCUUCACCCAGAGCCAAAUAGCAUGACCUUUUUCUUUCUAACCUCCUUCUCUCUGUGCUUCAGUGUCCCAAACUUCCUCAGUAGCUUGGUACCAACCAUAUCUGCAUUAGCUUUUCCAGUCUACUCUCUAUCAUGCUUAUUUCUUCAGCAAUCUUUAAAUAAUAGUUCCCACAUAAAGCUCAACAGCUUUGCACUCCCAAAUGCUAAUUUCCACACUCCCCAAGUACCUGCAGAACUUGGAGAGAUCACAAAAAUGUGUGAAAGAGUUCAGACUGAAAGAUCCAUGUGCUAGCUGGAGGGAAGGAAAGGAAGGGAAGGCCAGGAGUAUGGAAGGGUGUUUCUUUCCCAAGUAUGAACAAGUGUUUAUAAGAAGAAAGACUCAAAGUCUCUUCAGCAUUUGCCUUUAUGAUAUUUCUAAUGCCUAACCAAACAGUUAUACUGACCUUAAUAAUAGCAUGAGGAGCUUGUGCAAGGAGGGAAAGCAUUUCAAAGAUGUCAUGUCAACAACCAUGUCUUCAUCUCACUUCAUCCACUCUUUAGGAACAUGCCUACAUUACUUUAAGUGCUUUCACAUGUUUGACUAAUGCCAUUUUCCUCAAGUAGAAUUAGGAAAACAAAACUUUAGAGUUUUCAUAAAACUCUACUUAAAAAUAUUACUGCUUAAGUGCAAAGCAGUAGCAUUAGUUCUUGCAUAUGCUCUGCAGUAUUCAAAAUGCUGGAGGUCCCUGUACUCUUGUUGGCUCUGCUGUUCAUCCCAGCUUAACUUCAAAUUCCAGGCACUGAGGUGGAUAACUUUCUCAGCUGCACUUCACUCAAAGGGGCACUUGGUCAAAUCCGCAGCAGCUGGGAACCUGUGAAGAGGAUCAAAGCCACAGGCUGAGCUGCAUAAGCAUGCAGUAACUAAACUUUAGUUGACCAGUCAAUAUUGUAAAGCACUGGGUUUUAGGUAGGCUAAAUUUCAGAGGUCUGCUCUUUAAAUGACUACAAAUGGACUUGUAACCACCGCUGGGAGGCACAAAAAUAUCAAGUCAGUUUAGUCAAUGUGUAGGGUUUUUUUACCAUUCAAUGUAGUUGACUUUUAAAUGCCAGCUUGGCUUUAUGGCAAAGCCAUUGAUACAACAUCCAGUUCCUGUGUCACAUGCAGCACUAGAGGGCAGAGCUAACAGCUAAUGAGAAAUUAAGGAUGCCUUAAGGUCAAGGGAACAUAUGUUAUAAAGCAGUUAAAUUAAAUUAUAGGAAAUAGCUGGUGAACCAGGCUGAGACACAAAAGCCAAAAUAUGAGGUGACUGGUAAAAUAAAUGGCAAAUUAAUGGUAGCGCUGGAAGCAUGACAAAUACUACAACCAUGGCCUUGCAUAUCCCGUCAGACCCUGGUUGAGAGCAUUUGCAGCUCUGAGAGACACUUUCCAGCUUUCUGCACACUCACUUCUUGUGUAUUUACUAGCUUCUGUUUGCAAACGGAAGGACUAAACAUGUCACUCUGUGAAAUAAAGCUGAGGUGCUGGAGUGCAGCUCUGCUGCAGGAAGAGAAUGCCCUGGAAUGUGCCACAUGCUGGGGAAAGUGACCUGAGAGGAAGCAUCCUGCAAAUUUGUCAGGAUCAGACUCUUCCUGCCUGCCAUUUUCCAUGGGCUUGAUGCCAUGGGUCUCGCAAAUGACUGUAAAGUACUGAAGGUGGAAGUGGAUAGAGGUAUGUGGGGAUCUUUGAUGAAUACUGGAGUCACACUGUUUUUUGUCAGCCCAAGAAUGCAGAGAGCCAUGCAAUCCUUCACACCUGCACCACAGAGACUAAGCACAGCUUGCGUGGUCAAGAGGACUUCAUUCUAAGUCAGCGUUUGGGGGCUAGAAGCUUGGAUACAGCUGCAGAACAAGUUUGGAUCCCCAUAUACAAUGGAAACCCAGAGGAUGUUGUCCUUUCCCACAACUGCUUUGGCCAAACUCAUGGGGACAGCAAAGAGCCAACAAAGUCAUCAGCCCUAUGACAAGUAUCAAGGAAAAAUGGAACUACUGCUGUGGUCAAGUGAAGUCACUACUAAUGUCUGUGUUUUGCUGUAACUACUUACUCAGUUUCUUGGAAUUUCUUUGCUAUCUUACUCAAAGUAUGUAGAUUCAACGUCUUCUCUUCUCUUUGUGUCCACUGAUUUUUAAAACAGGUAUAAAAAGUAUUGGUGUACUAGAAGGUUAAAAACAUAUUUUAUGCCAUCAGAUAAGUCACCAGGAAAAAAAAAUAAAAAUAAAUUAAUUAAAGAAUACUACAAUUUUCUAUUUCCUUUUCUGUCACGUUGUAUAUUAUUUUUUGCUGUACAGCAUAUACAAUUUCCCUUGAAACAAAAUGCAGUUAUGUAGUUACAAUACAACAAAGUCCCCUGUUAAGGACAGAGUGAGCAAGAAGCUGCGCUUCCUUCUAAUUCCAGAGGUGUUCCUUACAGUUAGCAAGGCAGUGUAGAGGAACCUGCUGCUAUCUGUGUUUUUUGAAUAAACAGAAAAUUCAAAGCUACCUGUCUGAAAGCUUUCAGUGUGUAUAUUCACAUCAUGCAUGGGUAUAAAGGAGUGGAAGAGGCUAAGAUUCUUUAAAAGUCAGCUGGAUCAGAGCAUUAACUACCCAAAUUCAUCAAAAGUUAUAUUUAAAGCUUCCAGUGCCAUGGUGUUGCUUGCUUGCUUGAAUAACAUAUAGGGAGGUUCCUGAGAUUGAGUCAUUCCACUCAGACUGAAAGUAACAUUUGGCAGGUCCAUCAUUAUGAGAAUACAUAUGCAGCUGUUUAUAAGCACCUUGUCCUUUACAGCACUGGGGCUAUUGUGGUGGGGAGGGUCAGCUUCUUUCUCCUGGUCUUGGUGGCUCAGACUUACUAACAGAGUGAGUAUUUUUGCCCAGCUUUGAAUUUCUAAGGGAAAAAAUUUUAAGAAGCUGAAAUAAAAGCAAAAUAGGAUGGGAAUAUGAAAACAAUAUUUCUGAGCUCUGCUGAGUUCCAACAGCAACACAAAACUAUUCUGUUUACAUAUUUAGUGAAAUAAAUCCUGGCAUCACCACUGGUAUAAUUGCUCUUAUUGUGGGGGUUUCUUUUGAGUUUUCUUUGGACAAAAUAAGGACAAAUGGAAAUAACGGACAGAUGUCAUUGCUGGAAGUGCUAAUGGGAGCUGCAAACUCCUCUCAUUAACUG